AGAGUUUGAUCAUGGCUCAGAAUCAACGCUGGCGGCGUGCCUAACACAUGCAAGUCGAACGCGGUUAGUAGCAAUACUAACUGAGUGGCGAACGGGUGAGUAACACGUGGGUGACCUACCUUCGAGUGGGGGAUAACGUCCCGAAAGGGACGCUAAUACCGCAUAACAUCCUGCCUUUGAACAGGCGGUGAUCAAAGCCGGGGAUCGCAAGACCUGGCGCUUGAUGAGGGGCCCGCGUCUGAUUAGCUAGUUGGUGAGGUAAUGGCUCACCAAGGCGACGAUCAGUAUCCGGCCUGAGAGGGCGGACGGACACACUGGGACUGAGACACGGCCCAGACUCCUACGGGAGGCAGCAGUGGGGAAUUGUUCGCAAUGGGCGCAAGCCUGACGACGCAACGCCGCGUGGAGGAUGAAGGUCUUCGGAUUGUAAACUCCUGUUGCUCGGGACGAAAAGCUCCGACCUAACACGUCGGAGUCUGACGGUACCGAGUGAGGAAGCCCCGGCUAACUCUGUGCCAGCCGCCGCGGUAAUUC
rnacentral:rRNA from 1 species